rnacentral:precursor_RNA from 13 species
GGUGGCAUGACAAUCAUGAUUCUGGUGUCAUACAAGACAUAUGUUUUCUUGAUAUUCACAUAAUCUGGAAAACUAUGUUUUGUGUGAUACGAGUCAAUAUAUAUUCGGAGCCCAUC